rnacentral:rRNA from 1 species
UACGUAGGGUGCGAGCGUUAAUCGGAAUUACUGGGCGUAAAGCGUGCGCAGGCGGUUUUGUAAGCCAGAUGUGAAAUCCCCGGGCUUAACCUGGGAAUGGCAUUUGGGACUGCAAGGCUGGAGUGCGGCAGAGGAGACUGGAGUUCCUGGUGUAGCAGUGAAAUGCGUAGAUAUCAGGAGGAACACCGAUGGCGAAGGCAGGUCUCUGGGCUGACACUGACGCUCAUGCACGAAAGCGUGGGGAGCAAACAGG